rnacentral:rRNA from 1 species
GAUGAACGCUGGCUACAGGCUUAACACAUGCAAGUCGAGGGGAAACGACGGGGAAGCUUGCUUCCCCGGGCGUCGACCGGCGCACGGGUGAGUAACGCGUAUCCAACCUGCCUCUGACUGAGGGAUAACCCGUCGAAAGUCGGCCUCAUACCUCAUGGUAUCGUCUGCGGGCAUCCAACGACGAUUAAAGAUUUCAUCGGUCAGGGAUGGGGAUGCGUCUGAUUAGCUUGUUGGCGGGGUAACGGCCCACCAAGGCUACGAUCAGUAGGGGUUCUGAGAGGAAGGUCCCCCACAUUGGAACUGAGGCACGGCCCAAACUCCUACGGGAGGCAGCAGUGAGGAAUAUUGGUCAAGGGGCGAGAGCCUGAACCAGCCAAGUAGCGUGCAGGAAGACGGCCCUAUGGGUUGUAAACUGCUUUUAUGCGGGGAUAAAGUGAGGGACGUGUCCCUCAUUGCAGGUACCGCAUGAAUAAGGACCGGCUAAUUCCGUG